CCCUGGACGAGUGGCUUCACUUCUCUGGGCCUCAGUCACCUCAUCUGUAUCAAGGGGGGUCAAGAGAGUGAGGCAGGGACAGUGCCCAACCCCACUAUCUAGUAUCCACCGUGGCGCCCAGCAUGGUGCCUGGUACUUAGGAAGUGCUUAACAAACACCAUUGAACAGGAAACAAAAAAGAAAAAGGAGAGGCAGAGUGGAGGAAACAGUGGGGCCUGAGACUGGAGAUGUCUCAGUGAAGAGUUAGAUUUCAUUGAUUGAUUCGUUCAUUCACUCAUCAAUUCUUAUUUAUUGAGUAUCCUCCCGGGUGCAAAGCAUUGUACUAAGCUCUGGGAAAGUACUAGACGAGAAUUAGACCUGAUCCUCAAAGGGUAUGUGAAUGGGUUGCAGGUGUCUCUAAUUCAGGUUGUUUUUUCCAGAUCCCUUUAAUGAUGAGCAGCUGCAAAUCCCCUUCUCCUUAAUAACCUUCUGCCUCUUCCUUCCUUGAUCCUAAGCAAUCCAGUCUCUCCAUUAGGUGCUUUUCACUGGAGCAGGUGUCAUUGUUCCUUUAAAGCCCCAGAGGCUGCUGGCCAUUUUGCUACCUCAUAUAGGGUCUGAGGAGCUUUUUCCUCUAGGCUGUGGCAAGGAGAGGGAGUAGGUUCUUCUCAGUUUUGAGAGAGCAGCAUCUGUGAUGCUCCCUUUCUUAGGUUUUCUUUUGUUGAGCUGAGUUGUACGUGUUGCCGACGAGGUGGCGAUGUUAUCUGUUGAGCGCUUACUAUGUGUGAAGCACUGUUGAGUGUGCUCCCAGUUAGCUAGUGUUUCCCACUCGACCAUAAAGUCACCAAGGCCCGUGACUUUCCACAUUCUCAACACUGCACCCUGCGCCUGGAAGGUGCUAGAAGGUGAGGGGCUGUUUUUGAAAGGUUCAUGCCCCUUGUCAGCCCCAGGUGAGUACACAUC